GGGCCCGCACAAGCGGUGGAGUAUGUGGUUUAAUUCGAUGCAACGCGAAAAACCUUACCUACACUUGACAUACUUGGAAUCUUUUGUAAUGAAAGAGUGCCUUUUGGAGCCAAGAUACAGGUGCUGCAUGGCUGUCGUCAGCUCGUGUCGUGAGAUGUUGGGUUAAGUCCCGCAACGAGCGCAACCCUUGUCCUUAGUUACCAGCGGGUUAAGCCGGGAACUCUAAGGAUACUGCCAGUGACAAACUGGAGGAAGGCGGGGACGACGUCAAGUCAUCAUGGCCCUUACGUGUAGGGCUACACACGUGCUACAAUGGCAUAUACAGAGGGAAGCGAGACAGUGAUGUGGAGCGGACCCCUUAAAGUAUGUCGUAGUCCGGAUUGGAGUCUGCAACUCGACUCCAUGAAGUCGGAAUCGCUAGUAAUCG
rnacentral:rRNA from 1 species